rnacentral:rRNA from 1 species
UUGACUGGAGUUUGGCAGGGGGCUACUGGAAUUCUGCAUGUAGGGGUAAAAUCCGUUGAUAUGCAGAGGAACACCAAAAGCGAAGGCAGGUAGCUGGGCCAUUACUGACACUGAGGAACGAAAGCGUGGGGAGCAAACAGGAUUAGAUACCCUGGUAGUCCACGCCGUAAACGAUGGAUACUCGAUGUGGGAGGGACUCGACCCCCUUCCGUGUCUAAGCUAACGCGUUAAGUAUCCCGCCUGGGGAGUACGGUCGCAAGAUUAAAACUCAAAGGAAUAGACGGGGACCCACACAAGCGGUGGAGCAUGUGGUUUAAUUCGACGAUAAACGGAGGACCUCACCAAGGCUUGACAUCCCGAGAACUUUCCCGAAAGGGAUUGGUGCCGUAAGGAACUCGGUGACAGGUGCUGCAUGGUCGUCGUCAGCUCGUGCCUUGAGGUGUUCGGUUAAGUCCGUAAACGAGCGCAACCCAUGUCCUAUGUUGCAUUUUUCAUAGGAGACUGCCGGCUCUAAGUCGGAGGAAGGUAUGGAUGACGUCAGAUCAGCAUGGCCCUUAUGUCUUGGGCUACACACGUGCUACAAUGGCCGGUACAAUGGGCAGCCAACCCGCGAGGGGGAGCAAAUCCCAUCAAAGCCGGUCUCAGUUCGGAUUGAAGUCUGCAACUCGACUUCAUGAAGUUGGAAUCGCUAGUAACCGCGAAUCAGAUAUGUCGCGGUGAAUAUGUUCCUGGGUCUUGUACUCACCGCCCGUCACAUCAUGAAAGGAGGGGGUGCCCGAAGUCGCUUUAGUCUCUCGAGACGAGUGCCUAAGGUAAAACCUCUGAUUGGGAUGAAGUCGUAACAAGGUA